UACGAAGGGGGCUAGCGUUGCUCGGAAUCACUGGGCGUAAAGGGUGCGUAGGCGGGUCUUUAAGUCAGGGGUGAAAUCCUGGAGCUCAACUCCAGAACUGCCUUUGAUACUGAGAGUCUUGAGUUCGGGAGAGGUGAGUGGAACUGCGAGUGUAGAGGUGAAAUUCGUAGAUAUUCGCAAGAACACCAGUGGCGAAGGCGGCUCACUGGCCCGAUACUGACGCUGAGGUGCGAAAGCGUGGGGAGCAAACAGG
rnacentral:rRNA from 1 species